rnacentral:pre_miRNA from 1 species
AAUGGAAUGGCUGGCUCAUAUGUAUAAUUUAUCAACUUUUAAAGAGCUGCCAAACUGUUUUCCAAAGUGGUUGUACCAUUUUACAUUAUGACUAGUAGCUGU